GACGAACGCUGGCGGCGUGCUUAACACAUGCAAGUCGAACGGAAAGGCCCUGCUUUUGUGGGGUGCUCGAGUGGCGAACGGGUGAGUAACACGGGAGUAACCUGCCCUUGACUUUGGGAUAACUUCAGGAAACUGGGGCUAAUACAGGAUAGGAGCUCCUGCUGCAUGGUGGGGGUUGGAAAGUUUCGGCGGUUGGGGAUGGACUCGCGGCUUAUCAGCUUGUUGGUGGGGUAGUGGCUUACCAAGGCUUUGACGGGUAGCCGGCCUGAGAGGGUGACCGGCCACAUUGGGACUGAGAUACGGCCCAGACUCCUACGGGAGGCAGCAGUGGGGAAUAUUGCACAAUGGGCGGAAGCCUGAUGCAGCAACGCCGCGUGCGGGAUGACGGCCUUCGGGUUGUAAACCGCUUUCGCCUGUGACGAAGCGUGAGUGACGGUAAUGGGUAAAGAAGCACCGGCUAACUACGUG
rnacentral:rRNA from 1 species